rnacentral:misc_RNA from 1 species
GAUGAAGAACGUAGCGAAAUGCGAUACGUAAUGUGAAUUGCAGAAUUCAGUGCAUCAUCGAGUCUUUGAACGCACAUUGCGCCCCCUGGUAUUCCGGGGGGCAUGCCUGUCCGAGCGUCAUUGCUGCCCUCAAGCACGGCUUGUGUGUUGGGCCUCCGUCCUCCUCCCGGGGGACGGGCCCGAAAGGCAGCGGCGGCACCGCGUCCGGUCCUCGAGCGUAUGGGGCUUCGUCACCCGCUCUUGUAGGCCCGGCCGGCGCUUGCCGACACAUCAAUCUUUUUUCCAGGUUGACCUCGGAUCAGGUAGGGAUACCCGCUGAACUUAAGCAUAUCAAUAAGCGGAGGA